rnacentral:snRNA from 1 species
GUGCUCGCUUUCGGGAGCACAUAUACUAAAAAUGGAACGAUACAGAGAAAAUUAACAUGGCCCCUGCA